UCCCCUCUCUGGGCACAGGGACAAGGUGACUGUCCCCUCUCUGGGCACAGGGACGAGGUGACUGUCCCCUCUCUGGGCACAGGGACCUCCCCCAGCCACAACCAGGGCUGCUGGCACGUCCGUGUUUGUUUUGGUGCGAAAUAAAAGCUGCUGGUAGCUGGAAUUUGGGGGUGGUGGAGCUGGGGGACCUCGUGCUGAGGUCUGGGGGUGCUCCUGUCCCUUCUGUGCCUGGAGAUGUCCCCAUCCAAGCCUCGCUCCUGAUCUGGUGAAGUCCAGGCCCUGCUCUCUGCUCUGAAAAGUCACUUUUAUUGUGCCAAGGGACAGGGGGAGGAACGAUUGUAAACAGGGAUGUGAAAUAUACAGGUUAAGUUACUCGUUGUCUUAUUAACAAAAUAAAGCUCUAUCUAUA